rnacentral:rRNA from 1 species
UCCUGGCUCAGGAUAGAACGCUAGCGACAGGCUUAACACAUGCAAGUCGAGGGCAACAUGAUUUUAGCUUGACUAAAAUUGAUGGCGACCGGCGCACGGGUGAGUAACGCGUAUGUAACUUGCCUACCAGGAGGGGGAUAGCCCGGCGAAAGUCGGAUUAAUACCGCAUAAAACAGGGGGUUCCGCAUGGAAAUAUUUGUUAAAGGAUUACCGCUGGUAGAUAGGCAUGCGUUCCAUUAGAUAGUUGGUGAGGUAACGGCUCACCAAGUCGACGAUGGAUAGGGGUUCUGAGAGGAAGGCCCCCCACAUUGGUACUGAGACACGGACCAAACUCCUACGGGAGGCAGCAGUGAGGAAUAUUGGUCAAUGGGCGAGAGCCUGAACCAGCCAAGUCGCGUGAAGGAUGAAGGAUCUAUGGUUUGUAAACUUCUUUUAUACGGGAAUAAAGUGUGGUACGUGUACCAUUUUGUAUGUACCGUAUGAAUAAGCAUCGGCUAACUCCGUG